UGGGGAAUAUUGGACAAUGGGCGGAAGCCUGAUCCAGCAACGCCGCGUGAGGGAUGACGGCCUUCGGGUUGUAAACCUCUUUCAGUACCGACGAAGCGUAAGUGACGGUAGGUACAGAAGAAGCACCGGCCAACUACGUGCCAGCAGCCGCGGUAAUACGUAGGGUGCGAGCGUUGUCCGGAAUUAUUGGGGGUAAAGGGCUCGUAGGCGGUUUGUCGCGUCGGGAGUGAAAACCAGGUGCUUAACACCUGGCUUGCUUUCGAUACGGGCAGACUAGGGGUAUUGAGGGGAGAGCGGAAUUCCUGGUGGAGCGGUGAAAUGCGCAGAUAUCAGGAGGAACACCGGUGGCGAAGGCGGUUCUCUGGGAAUGACCUGACGCUGAGGAGCGAAAGUGUGGGGAGCGAACAGG
rnacentral:rRNA from 2 species